CCUACGAGAGGCAGCAGUGGGGAAUAUUGGGCAAUGGGCGCAAGCCUGACCCAGCAACGCCGCGUGAAGGAAGACGGCUCUCGGGUUGUAAACCUCCUUUAAGAGGGAAGAGCAGAAGACGGUACCUCUUGAAUAAGCCACGGCUAACUACGUGCCAGCAGCCGCGGUAAUACGUAGGUGGCAAGCGUUGUCCGGAUUUACUGGGUGUAAAGGGCGUGCAGCCGGGAAGACAAGUCAGAUGUGAAAUCCCGCGGCUCAACCGCGGAACUGCAUUUGAAACUGUUUGUCUUGAGUACCGGAGAGGUCAUCGGAAUUCCUGGUGUAGCGGUGAAAUGCGUAGAUAUAAGGAAGAACACCAGUGGCGAAGGCAGAUGACUGGACGGCAACUGACGGUGAGGCGCGAAAGCGUGGGGAGCAAACAGGAUUAGAUACCCGGGUAGUC
rnacentral:rRNA from 1 species